rnacentral:rRNA from 1 species
CCUACGGGGGGCUGCAGUGGGGAAUAUUGGACAAUGGGGGCAACCCUGAUCCAGCCAUGCCGCGUGUGUGAAGAAGGCCCUCGGGUUGUAAAGCACUUUCAGUGAGGAAGAACGCCUGGUGGUUAAUACCCAUCAGGAAAGACAUCACUCACAGAAGAAGCACCGGCUAACUCCGUGCCAGCAGCCGCGGUAAUACGGAGGGUGCGAGCGUUAAUCGGAAUUACUGGGCGUAAAGCGCGCGUAGGUGGCUUGAUAAGCCGGUUGUGAAAGCCCCGGGCUCAACCUGGGAACGGCAUCCGGAACUGUCAAGCUAGAGUGCAGGAGAGGAAGGUAGAAUUCCCGGUGUAGCGGUGAAAUGCGUAGAGAUCGGGAGGAAUACCAGUGGCGAAGGCGGCCUUCUGGACUGACACUGACACUGAGGUGCGAAAGCGUGGGUAGCAAACAGGAUUAGAUAUCCUUGUAGUC